GCACUCCAGCCUGAGUGGCAGACGGAGACACUGUGUCAGAAGAACAAAGGUGGGGGUGUGUUCCUCACUCUGUUGCCCGGGCUGGUCUCAAACUCCUGGCCUCAAGCGAGCCUCCCACCUUGCCUCCUCAAAUGCUGAGAUUACAGGCAUGAGCCACCACGCUGGGCUUCAGACCUACUACAUUUUGUCUGUGGCAAGCAUGUCACACUUGUGAGGAAAACAAGGACAAGGAAAACCGCAGAAAUGAUUAGCCAGCACUUUGGGAGGCCGAGGCGGGUGGAUCACGAGGUCAGGAGAUCGAGACCAUCCUGGCUAACACGGUGAAACCCUGUCUCUACUAAAAAUACAAAAAAAUUAGCUGGGUGAGGU
rnacentral:lncRNA from 10 species